rnacentral:rRNA from 1 species
AGAAUCAACGCUGGCGGCGUGCCUAACACAUGCAAGUCGAGCGCGAAAGGGGAGCAAUCCCCAAGUAGAGCGGCGAACGGGUGAGUAACGCGUGGGUAAUCUGCCUCCGAGUGGGGAACAACAUCGGGAAACUGGUGCUAAUACCGCAUAACAUCGUCGGGUUUUCGGAUCUGACGAUCAAAGCCGGGGACGCAAGGCCUGGCGCUUGGAGAGGAGCCCGCGUCCGAUUAGCUAGUUGGUGGGUAAUGGCCUACCAAGGCUUCGAUC